AAAAUAAUUCAGAAAAGCUGUUUUAAGACACAAUGGCUGAAAAGCCGCCUCCUGAGCCAAAUAAGUCUGUGGACCUGAGGGUAGCCAAGACCACCACUACCACCACCCCCACAGAUACGACACCGAGACCGAUGGCCUUAUUAUGACCGCGAUGGCUAGCAACAUUCAGCAAGGGAUGCCACCCAUAGCAGUUCAGCAGUUCAAUCCAUACAUUCAUCAAUUUCGACAACAGCACUUUCACCAUGGCAGUGCCAACAUCUUCAACAUCACGAACAGCCACAACGUCCAGAUUGGUCGCACCAACAUCAUGAACUUCGGCCGGCAGCAUAUGCCAGGUUGCGACGAUAAUUUCCAGCAGUGAAGAUGAAGAAGUGGACGCACUUGAAGAUGAACGGAUUAUGGAAUUGAGAAGGUGUGAGAGAGAGAUCAGCAAUGAGGAACUGCUAAAUAUUGCUCGUCACGUUGGCCUGGGAUGGAGACGGCUUGUUCGGUUCAUCGGCUUGCAGGACUACGAUGUUGAUGAGCUGUAUGAGGAA
rnacentral:misc_RNA from 1 species